rnacentral:lncRNA from 1 species
GCCAGGACACUGCUCUCACGGUUGAUAUUAGAGCCUGGAGAACGGUGCUGGGCAGGACAAAGAGCUUUGCAGUCUAGGUGUCUGUCUGUCUGUUUCCUGCCCGGGGCAUUGAUUCGUUGGCUUUCAAGCAUGCUGUUUGGGUGGAAGGUUGAUGGGGGCAAAUGCCCCAGUGGGGCCAGUAAAGCAUCCUCCUGCCCACAGCAACGGCUUGGGGCGUCUGAGCUCUGCUUACAGCAAGGGCUGGAGUUGCCAGAGGCCCUGCUCUGGGAAGACCCUGGCCACUGACACCCAAGAUCUGAUGGAGAGAGCGGCCCCACCCUUGCCAACACAGACACCUGACCUUUUUGUUCAACUUGUGUGUUAGGGUGAAGGAAACUGCCAAACUUCCUCUGAGUGAAGACCUCUGACUGCCCAGGAGUAGGGGUGGGGACCAGGGCCAGAGCUCAACGUGUACCCCAGCACCUGCCCGAGGGACACUCCUCCCUCAUACUCAUAGGUCUGGGAGCCAGACUGUCCAGGGAACCAGCCCCUCUUUUCUAUAUACUCGGCCACAAGGCUACCCGAUCCCCCACUGUGCCCAGCUCCCCCUUUUGUAAGUAUGUGAAAAGGAAAAAUGCAAAGGUUGGAUCGGCCGGAGCCCUUCCCUCCAGUCGAGACUUUUAACCCUGUAAUAAUGUACAGAGAAGUUGUUGGUGUUCGAAGACUCCGUGUGGCUGUGCAAUUUCUGUACAUUUGCAAUUAGAAAUAUUAAAGAUUUAUUUAGCUAUUUU